rnacentral:tRNA from 1 species
ACCUGGCUGGCUCAGUCGGUGGAGCAUGUGAUUUUUGAUCUCGGAGUCGUGAGUUCGAGCCCCACGUUGAGUG